CGGCGGACGCGCGCUCCCGGCCGCCCCGGGAGGCCGCCUCCUGCCGGAUUCCGAGCGGGUUUUCUGGACCUUUCGGCGGAGAAACCCGCCCCGCAGCCGCGCCCACUCCGCGCCGGAGAGGGAGGAAGGCGCCCCGGACCCGGCGCCCAGCCCGCCCGGCAGACGGGUGGACGUCAGGAAAGGGGUGAAGAGGAGAGAAAAACAGGCCCGUUAAUGCUUUUUCCAGCCUGAUGCUGGGUUUGACUCACGCUCACUGCUGAUGCCAUCGGCCGCGGCGGGUAACGAAGAGAAGCCAGAAUCCUGCAGCUGCCUGGGCUGGGCGGUGGUGUUCGAACUCCAGGGCCUGCUCUCUGCAGUGGCCUUGCUUCCUGAGGAACGACCCCGGACUUCCGCACGGGGGACAGAUUCGUGCACAAAACUGCGGCCCGGUGACAGACUCACCGGGAAUGGGAGCGGACCUUUUCCAUUUCACGUGCCUGGAGCACCUAGCACGGUGCCCGAGACAAAUAUUUGUCAAAUGAGUGAAUGAAAGUCCUUGUUCACUGCUUCUCCCGCGAGCAGGGUUUCAUGGCUCCUGAGAGCAAGAUCUCCUCUGUCCUGGGGGAGGACAUAGCCAGUAACUUCCCAAAAGCUUUGCCAGGCCCGGCUGGCGUGGCUCAGCGGUUGAGAGUCAACCUGUGAACCAGGAGGUCACAGUUCGAUCCCCGGUCAGGGCCCAGGCCCAGGUUAGGACCGGGCUCGAUCCCCAGGGUGGGGCGUGCAGGAGGCAGCCGGUCAGUGGUUCUCUCUCAUCCUUGAUGCGUCUCUCUCUCCCUCUCUUCUUCUCUGAAAUCAGUAAAAAAAAUAAAUAAAAGCAUUUGCAGGGUGUGGGUUGCCUUUCAAAGAUGGCCAUUCUCUGACUCGGAGGAGUCAACCCUCCGAGAAGCAUCACCCGUGAGUGACUCCUGGCAGCAGCUUCCUUCCUCCCCGCCUCCUUCCCCAUCCCCUCCGCCCCCGCCCCUGUGUGGGGAGACUGACUAGGUUCCCACGGCCCGGCCAGGAGACCCAGCUGGAAGCAGUCGGAGGCAGUGAGCAGGAGCGGGCCGGCCGGCCAGGAAGUGAAGUUGGCUAGAGCAUUCGGCUGCCAAGAGCCGGCGGGGGACGGGGAGCGGACGGAUGCCCAGCCAGACAGCGGCGCCGAUAAACCUUGCCGGGGAGGCGUCCGUGAAGCCCACACACCCAUCCUCCCCAGCAGAGCUUCCAGUGAGGAACAGAGCAGGACUCGCACCCAGGCCCGGGGUUCGUGUCCACCACGAUCCCACUACACCUCGUGUGGGCGGCACCGCUGACGGCAGGGCUCCCACAUCGCAAAGACGCUGCUGUGCGUGGCCGUGCCGGGCUGCACCCCGAUGAUGAAAACCUUCCCCAAAAUUAGUCGGGACAGCCCGUGUGGCUCAGUGGUUGAGGCUAUGAACCAGGAGGUCACGUUUCGAUUCCCGGGUUGUGGGUUCCAUCCCCAGUGUGGGGCAUGCAGGAGGCAGCCGAUCCAUGAU